UACGUAGGGUGCAGGCGUUAACCGGAAUUACUGGGCGUAAAGCGUGCGCAGGCGGUCUGCUAAGACAGGUGUGAAAUCCCCGGGCUUAACCUGGGAACUGCGCUUGUAACUGGCAGGCUUGAGUGUGGCAGAGGGGGGUGGAAUUCCAGGUGUAGCAGUGAAAUGCGUAGAGAUCUGGAGGAACACCGAUGGCGAAGGCAGCCCCCUGGGCUAACACUGACGCUCAUGCACGAAAGCGUGGGGAGCAAACAGG
rnacentral:rRNA from 1 species